GAUGAACGCUGGCGGCGUGCCUAAUACAUGCAAGUCGAGCGAACGGACGAGAAGCUUGCUUCUCUGAUGUUAGCGGCGGACGGGUGAGUAACACGUGGAUAACCUACCUAUAAGACUGGGAUAACUUCGGGAAACCGUAGCUAAUACCGGAUAAUAUUUUGAACCGCAUGGUUCAAAAGUGAAAGACGGUCUUGCUGUCACUUAUAGAUGGAUCCGCGCUGCAUUAGCUAGUUGGUAAGGUAACGGCUUACCAAGGCAACGAUGCAUAGCCGACCUGAGAGGGUGAGCGGCCACACUGGAACGGAGACACGGUCCAGACUCCUACGGGAGGCAGCAGUAGGGAAUCUUCCGCAAUGGGCGAAAGCCUGACGGAGCAACGCCGCGUGAGUGAUGAAGGUCUUCGGAUCGUAAAACUCUGUUAUUAGGGAAGAACAUAUGUGUAAGUAACUGUGCACAUCUUGACGGUAACUAAUCAGAAAGCCACGGCUAACUACGUG
rnacentral:rRNA from 1 species